UACGUAGGGUGCGAGCGUUGUCCGGAAUCAUUGGGCGUAAAGAGCGUGUAGGCGGCCCGGUAAGUCCGCUGUGAAAGUCCAGGGCUCAACCCUGGGAUGCCGGUGGAUACUGUCGGGCUCGAGUCCGGAAGAGGAGUGUGGAAUUCCUGGUGUAGCGGUGAAAUGCGCAGAUAUCAGGAGAACACCAAUGGCGAAGGCAGCACUCUGGGACGUGACUGACGCUGAGACGCGAAAGCGUGGGAGCAAACAGG
rnacentral:rRNA from 1 species